UACGUAGGGUGCAAGCGUUAAUCGGAAUUACUGGGCGUAAAGCGUGCGCAGGCGGUUCUAUAAGACAGAUGUGAAAUCCCCCGGCUCAACCUGGGAACUGCAUUUGUGACUGUAGAGCUGGAGUACGGCAGAGGGGGAUGGAAUUCCGCGUGUAGCAGUGAAAUGCGUAGAUAUGCGGAGGAACACCGAUGGCGAAGGCAGUCCCCUGGGCCUGUACUGACGCUCAUGCACGAAAGCGUGGGGAGCAAACAGG
rnacentral:rRNA from 1 species